rnacentral:rRNA from 1 species
AUGGGCAAGGACUGCGGCAACCACGGCGACGACCACCUCCGGAACGGCUGCCGGCGCCUCCUGGCCGUGCUCCUGGUCCUGGCCUUCAUCGUCGCCAUCAUCACCCUCAUCGUCUACUUGGUCACCGUAGCCUCCCGCAACCCCAACGACCGCGUCGGUGUCUACUACGACCGCCUCGACGUCUACGCCUCCUACAAGUACCAGCAGAUCACCGUCGCCGCCUCGCUCCCGGCGGUCUACCAGGGCCACGGCGACGUCGACGUAUGGUCACCAGUGCUCGACGGGCCCAACGUGCCCUUCGCGCCGUACCUCGCCAGCGCCAUCUCCCAGGACUGCCAGGCUGGCUACCUCAUCCUCCAGGUCAAGAUCGACGGCCGCGUCAGGUGGAAGGUCGGCAGCUGGAUCUCUGGCCACUACCACCUCUUCGUCACCUGCCCGGCCUUCCUCGUCACCAGCGGCGGCAACGGCGCACCAGGGGCUAGCGGGUUCAAGUUCCAGACGACCACUUACUGCCACGUAGAGGUCUAG